rnacentral:rRNA from 1 species
AUUGAACGCUGGCGGCAGGCCUAACACAUGCAAGUCGAGCGGAUGAAGGGAGCUUGCUCCUGGAUUCAGCGGCGGACGGGUGAGUAAUGCCUAGGAAUCUGCCUGGUAGUGGGGGAUAACGUCCGGAAACGGGCGCUAAUACCGCAUACGUCCUGAGGGAGAAAGUGGGGGAUCUUCGGACCUCACGCUAUCAGAUGAGCCAGGUCGGAUUAGCUAGUUGGUGGGGUAAAGGCCUACCAAGGCGACGAUCCGUAACUGGUCUGAGAGGAUGAUCAGUCACACUGGAACUGAGACACGGUCCAGACUCCUACGGGAGGCAGCAGUGGGGAAUAUUGGACAAUGGGCGAAAGCCUGAUCCAGCCAUGCCGCGUGUGUGAAGAAGGUCUUCGGAUUGUAAAGCACUUUAAGUUGGGAGGAAGGGCAGUAAGUUAAUACCUUGCUGUUUUGACGUUACCAACAGAAUAAGCACCGGCUAACUUCGUG